rnacentral:rRNA from 1 species
UCAAUCUCGUGCGGCUGUAAGCCGCCUGUCCCUCUAAGAAGAUAUAAUUUCGCCAGUAGCCUUGGAUACUGGGCGACUAUUUAGUAGGCUAGAGUCUCGUUCGUUAU